GCUUCUUAAUUUGUCAUAAACCCACUGUGGGCAAGGGCCUUGUCUUAGUCACUGUAGGUACAUGCUAGGUGCUCAA
rnacentral:miRNA from 1 species